AUUUAAGUAGUUUAAUUAAAAUAUAGAUUUGUGGAUUCUAAGAUGCUUUCAGCCUUAAAUU
rnacentral:tRNA from 1 species